UUCCAGACUCCUACGGGAGGCAGCAGUGGGGGAUAUUGCACAAUGGGGGAAACCCUGAUGCAGCGACGCCGCGUGGGUGAAGAAGCGCCUCGGCGCGUAAAGCUCUAUCAGCAGGGAAGAGAAUGACGGUACCUGAGUAAGAAGCCCCGGCUAACUACGUGCCAGCAGCCGCGGUAAUACGUAGGGGGCAAGCGUUAUCCGGAUUUACUGGGUGUAAAGGGAGCGUAGACGGCGAAGAAAGUCUGAAGUGAAGGCCCGCGGCUCAACCGCGGAACUGCUUUGGAAACUUUUUUGCUGGAGUACCGGAGAGGUAAGCGGAAUUCCUAGUGUAGCGGUGAAAUGCGUAGAUAUUAGGAGGAACACCAGUGGCGAAGGCGGCUUACUGGACGGUAACUGACGUUGAGGCUCGAAAGCGUGGGGAGCAAACAGGAUUAGAUACCCUCGUA
rnacentral:rRNA from 1 species